GACGAACGCUGGCGGCGUGCCUAACACAUGCAAGUGGAGCGACGAACCAGGCUUCGGCCUGGGGCAGAGCCGCGAACGGGUGAGUAACACGUGGGUAACCUGCCCUGAUGAUUGGGACAACCCGAGGAAACUCGGGCUAAUACCAAAUGUGCCCUCCGACCAUAAGGUCGCUGGGGAGAGGAAGCUUCGGCCUCCGCAUCGGGAUGGGCCCGCGGCCCAUUAGCUUGUUGGUGAGGAAUGGCUCACCAAGGCAACGAUGGGUAGCUGGUCUGAGAGGACGAUCAGCCACACUGGGACUGAGACACGGCCCAGACUCCUACGGGAGGCAGCAGUGGGGAAUCUUGCGCAAUGCGCGAAAGCGUGACGCAGCAACGCCGCGUGGGGGAAGAAGG
rnacentral:rRNA from 1 species